rnacentral:rRNA from 1 species
AUACGGAGGGUGCAAGCGUUGUCCGGAUUUAUUGGGUUUAAAGGGUGUGUAGGCGGUGUAUUAAGUCAGUGGUGAAAGCCUGCGGCUCAACCGUAGAACUGCCAUUGAUACUGACACACUUGAGUAUGGACGAGGUAGGCGGAAUUUAUGGUAUAGCGGUGAAAUGCAUAGAUACCAUAAAGAACACCGAUAGCGAAGGCAGCUUACUAGGCCAUAACUGACGCUGAGGCACGAAAGCGUGGGGAGCGAACAGGAUUAGAUACCCCAGUAGUCC